AAAAAGUGUGAUAAUUUGGAACUAAAAUGUUGUUGACAUUUUUAUAUUUAUGUAAAGAUCUGCUCUAAAUUGUCUAAAUCUUGUUUUUGCGCAGUAUUAUUUAUGCAGCAAAAAAUGGUCAUGACAGGACGCCAUUGUUCGUUGUUGGAAGUUCUUUUACAAUUUUUCUGAUUUUUUGGUAGAAAAAGUGGUUCUUCAGUGCACUAUUUGAGCUUACUCGGUUCCUUAAGGCCUGUUUAAUCUCCUGUAAAUGAGUUUUAUUUCUUUACACAUCCAACAUGUAAAGACCAGCUACGAGAAGAGACCUUGGUCACCCCUCAUAUAAUCCUGACUUUUGUCUAUCAUUCUGGUUUAUGAGAUUGGUUUUACUUUAUCCAGUUAAAAAUUUUGUACGACAAAUCGAUGGAUGUAUACAGUUCCAGGGCAGUAAUUUCUAGUUUUAUAAAAGAUAUUUAAACAUUCUUUGAAAACGCUGUUUGUGUAUAAAAUAUACCGUAAGAUCAAAAAAAACGGCGUCAGAGAUAGCUUGGGAAUUAAGAUCACCGUUAUUUUAUAUGUAAAUUUAUAUCGGGAAUUUCAACAAUUGUUAUUCCAAAGCCAACUGGGCGCCUUUUUUUUUCGAUCAUACCAUAUAUUAUAUUUAAACGUUCUUUGAAAACGCUGUUUGUGUAUAAAAUAUACCAUAAGAUCGGAAAAAAAACGGCGUCAGAGAUAGCUUGGAAAUUAAGAAAACCCGUCAUUUUGUAUUUAAAUUUAUAUUGGAAAUUUCAACAACUGGUAUUUCAGAGCCAACUGGACGCCGUUUUUUUUUCGAUUCUACCAUAUAUAUUUAAACGUUCUUUGAAAACGCUGUUUGUGUAUAAAGUAUAUACAUUAAGAUUGAGAAAAAAACGGCGUCAGAGAUAGCUUGGAAAUUAAGAAAACCCGUAAUUUUGUAUGUAAAUUUAUAUUGGAAAUUUCAACAAUUGUUAUUUCAAAGUCAACUGGACGCCGUUUUUUUUUCGAUCAUACCAUAUAUAUUUAAACGUUCUUUGAAAACGCUGUUUGUGUACAAAAUAUACCCUAAGAUCGAAAAAAACGGCGUCAGAGAUAGCUUGGAAAUUAAGUUCACCAUCAUUUUGUAUGUAAAUUUAUAUUUGAAAUAUCAAGAAUUGGUAUUUCAGAGCCAACUGGACGCCGUUUUUUUUUUCGAUCAUACCAUAUAUAAUUAAAUGUUCUUUGAAAACGCUGUUUGUGUAUAAAACAUACCGUAAGAUCGAAAAAAAACGGCGUCAAAAAUAGCUUGGAAAUUAAGAUCACCAUCAUUUUGUAUGUAAAUUUAUAUUGGAAAUUUCAACAAUUGGUAUUUCAGAGCCAACUGGACGCCGUUUUUUUUCGAUCUUACCAUAUAUAUUUAAACGUUCUUUGAAAACGCUGUUUGUGUAUAAAAUAUACCGUAAGAUC